rnacentral:lncRNA from 1 species
AAGCCCAAUGCAUAGUUCGAAUGUUCUAUGAUGGCAACAAGCACACUAAGGUGUAAUGAGUAAUACUAUCAAGUAUACUAUGAGUCUAUCUCAAUAUCCACCACUAUGCGGUAAGCAUGUCCAAGUAUCCAACUACUAUACCCUAUCUAGUAGUGAUUAACCUUUGUAAGUUGAUGUCACGGUUCAAUCUCAUUUGGGACCUACACAAGUGUAGUCCAGCUUGUGCCGCCUAAGUGUCGGUGGUAGCUCCAACAUUCCCACUCUGGAAAUGAGUCUAUCCCUCCUGACCCCGUAGGUUUCUUGGUACCGCACAAGCGAACAUAAGUCGUAGGCCAACUCCGAAGUGCCGGCUUGUAGGGAGCGACCCUCACAAGCAUGUGCGAAUGAGCACAAUGGCAAGCAAGCGUAGUCAAUAGCUCAAGAAUCCAAUCAUCAUGUCUCUAACAUGGCAAUAAUCACUAGUAACACAACGAUCUAGUUCUAUAUCCCAAUGUGAUGUUCCAACACUUACAAUGCUUAGUGCCUCUUUAUGGCACUCAAGCCUUAUGAUAACCCAAGUACAAUCCACAUUCUAUGUCCCUUCAUGGCACUAGUACUAGGUUCACACAUAACCCGAGCUCAAUGCCGCUUCAUGACAUUAGCUCCAAAUUUUUCCAUAACAAUCUAAUCCGAUGCCUCUUUAUGGCAUUAGCUAUCUCUCAUGUCUCUAACAUGCAUAGGUUUAAGUGCACUAAACAAUGCUCAUUUUCAUUGUAAGAAACAUGGUCCCAAGUCCAACAUAAGAAUGCCAAAUGUUAAUAUAAGCCUCACAUGCAACUCUCUACUGUAUAGAGGUCCGAAAAUUUGUUAUACAUGGCAUAGGGAAGUUAAGCGUUCUAAAAUUCACAAUAAAUAUAUGUAGCAUGAAAAUGUAUGAAUUUUCACUUUACGAAGCAUAAAUCACCAAAUGUGAGUAUUUCUCAUAUUAUAGGUUAGGUCAAACCCACCGAACAACGCGUAACCCUUCGUUUGCUCUAACGAAAAUGUCCACUAAGCUCCUAGCAUCCUAGAAACAUCAAAAAGUGAGCUACAAGAAGUAAACGAACAACUACUAGCUCAAACAUUAACCAACUAGACAAAAGGGCCAAAAUCUCACCUAUAGUGAAGAAAUCCCUCUUCAAAGCUCAAAUGGAAGUCAAAUCCUUUCCAAAGCAACCUAAACCAAGGUCCUAAUCCCAUUAGAUUAGCCCCAAAAGCCUCCAAACAAAAAGCCCCAAAAUAAACCCUAAAAUCCAAGUCUACGAUUUCAUCUCCCAAAAUUCACCAAAACUAGGUCUAGAGGGGAGGUACAAGCAACUAACCUCUUUAGAGGCUCCAAUCCAAGCUCCAAAAGUGAAGAUCUCCUCUCUAGCAAGCUCCAAGUCCAAACCUCCAAGCACAAACAAGGUGGGAAGAGAGGGAGAGGAAGAGGAUGAAGCUCCAAGUCCUCAAACAAGCUCCUCUUCUUCUUCUUCUUCUUCUUCUUCUUCUUCUCCUUCUCUCUCUAAGAUGCAAAGGAGAGUGUGAAAUGAGGGAGAGAGAGAAGUGAAAUGGCCAUAUAGGCCCCCUAUUGUAACAAAAUCUAGAAAAGUCCCUCUACUUUUCAUCCUAAGCAUCAGCCCGAACUGGGCAGUUUUCGCCCAGAGGGACCGGUCUCUCCCAGCCGGGAUCGGUCCCUCGGGACCCUCCCGCAAAACCAGCUCUCGGGAACUGGUCUCCCCAGCCAAGGACCGGUUGCCUCGCCGUGGGGGACCGGUCUCUCCCACCAGGGAUCGGUCCCCGAGAGUAAAAAUCUCAGGACUUGUCCAGAAACACAGAUUUCGAACUUUUUGGUCAAAAUACAGUCUACGACCCUCCACCAAGUGUGGAAAAAGCUCGAAACACCAAAUCCAAACACUCGAACCUUGCAAUUUGCGAAAGUCCAGUGUAUUACAUUCACCCCUCCUAAAAAGGAGUUUCGUCCGCGAAACUCGAAAAGCAAAGUACCUCAAGCCUCCAUCUGAAAAGGAUGGGGGUAGCGCUCCUGCAGUGCGCUCUCCAAUUCCCACGUGGCCUCGCGCUCCUCGUGGUUGCUCCAAAGAACCUUCACGUAGGGGAUCUCACGGUUUCGCAGCCUCUUCACCUCACGAGCUAAGAUCCUCACAGGCUACUCCUCGAGACUCAAAUCCUCCCUCAUCUCCAAUGGCAUCGUAUCAAGCACAAGAGCCGGAUCAUGGAUGUACUUUCGAAGGACCGAUACAUGAAAGACGUUGUGUACACCCGAUGGGUUUGGUGGUAGAGCAAGUCGAUACGCUACCGGACCUACACGUUCCAAAAUCUCAUACGGUCCAAUGAAACGGGGGAUCAACUUACCCCGAAUCUCGAAUCUCCUGAUCCCUCUAGUCGGCGAGACCCUCAAGAAUACAUGGUCUCCAACUUGGAACUCCAAGUCUCGCCGUCGUCGAUCGGCGUAGCUCCUCUGUCUACUCUGUGCCGUCAAAAGUCGCUCCCGAGCAAUUCAAACCUUAUCCUCAGCUUCCUGGAGCACAUCAGGGCCUAAAGCUAAUUUCUCGCCUACUUCACUCCAAUGAAGUGGCGAUCUACACUUCCGUCCAUAAAGUGCUUCGAAGGGCGCCAUCUUGAUGCUUGCUUGAUAACUAUUGUUAUAAGCAAACUCUGCCAUCGGUAGAUGCUGCGACCAUCCUCCCUGGAAGUCAAUCACACAUGCCCGGAGCAUAUCCUCUAAGGUCUAAAUAGUGCGCUCUGACUGCCCGUCGCUCUGAAGGUGGAACGCAGUACUGCAAUUCAAUCGAGUGCCUAAGACGUCCUGCAGACUCCUCCAAAAGUGAGACACAAACCGAGUGUCUCGAUCAGAUACAAUCGAAGUAGGCACUCUGUGAAGUCGCACAAUCUCAGCAAGGUACACUUGUGCGAGCUUCUCUCCAGACCAAGUCGUAUGAAUAGGUAUGAAGUGCGCUGACUUCGUCAACCUAUCCACGGUCACCCAAAUAGCAUCAUGCCCAGCCUGAGAGCAAGGCAAUCCAGUCACGAAAUCCAUGGUGAUCUUCUCCCACUUCCACACGGGAAUAGGCAAACUCUAAAGUUUUUCCGCGGGUAAACGGUGCUGUCCAUAUCAAGAAUCCGGGGGUUACACCCGUUAUCCAAUCCAUCUAAACUCCACCGAAGUACUUACGUGAAUAUCACUCACCAAAGAGAGGUGAGAUAGCAUCGAAUCGACGACUCAAAUCCCAACGAUGAUCUCGCAACCCAAUAUCAAAUUCCGUCACGAGAUCACACAACGGGGUGCAACUCUAUUCCAUAGCUAAGUAUGAUGUAAUUUUCACAUGGCUACCAUUCCAACUUGCUUGGCACGAACGGCUCCAUAGAUAGCAUCCACGGCAAUAAUCCUUCUGAUAGCAACGGAAACUGACGAAUCAUCCAAAUUGCUUACCAUAAGUGGCUGCUUGAUUCCUCAUUCGGCAUUGCAUCACACUGCCUCCACGUCAAUCCCACCUCACCACCCGGGUAACGCUCUCAAAUCCUCUACCAUGAAUAUGGUCAUGGACCAAAGUUCAGAAGCUUCUCCAUUCCACUAAGGUCAUUCCCUUAGUCUCAACUUGAUGCCUCAAAUAACCUUUUCGUAAGCCUAAGCCAAGGGCUUAUCUUCGAUAGGAGGUCUCAUAACAUUAACCAUUCAGUUGCUCAUGAAGAAUCACUCAAAAAUUCUCAUCCUCAAUGCUUUCUUUAGCAUCGGAUGCUCCAGGUGUCCAUAGUCACCGAGCUCGUCUCGAGUGAUAAAGAGGGAUAAAUCUACAAUUCAAAAAUAGCUCUCUAUCAAUGUCAUCCUGAUGUGACCAUCAAUCAAAAUGUCAAUCCAAACAACUCUCUCACGCAGUUCCCAUUCCUAAGAUUUCGAUUCCUGGUGCAUAAACCGAACAAGGGAAAAUAGCAACUUGGUAUUUUUCCCUCCCAAGUUUCCAACCACUCGAUCCAACAGUGAGAGUUUCGCAUCUCGAUCACGUCAAUCUGCCUCGCAGUCGAUCCUUGCAAAUCCUCAUCGGAUUACUCAUGGCCAUCCGCGACCGGUUCCACAAAUCCAUCCAAAAGGUUUGGGGAUUAUCAUUCAGCAAGUCCCUAACACUGAUGGAGUACCACGGGAUUAGGCAACAUCACAAUAACCCUCGUGAUGUCCCAACCCAGCAUCAAAUCCGCUUGAGGCAUAACCUCAAACUCUCCACGCAAAACGGUAUCACUCAGAUUGCAUUGCAAUCUUACUGAGUACACCGGCAAACUCGAGGCUAAUCGAAAAAAUCAAUGAGCCUCAACCACAAUCCAAAUGCUCAAUCGUGAUUCAAUUUAGAUCACGAUGGCAGACAUACAGUCGGAACGACCCAUCCUGUCCCACAACAGGUGGGGGUGCUUCUCCACGAAGCAAAACACUAGGUAUAAGAACCUCUGCGCCAAUCAAGCUCACAAUUUGUGACUCAGACGGGAAAACAACAACAACUCAAAAGAUAUCCUCCACUACGAGGAUUCUCGAUCAACAAAUGCUAUCGGCCAACUAGGCCCCAAAUCCACUCCAAAUACCCAAUUUUGGGUAGAGAAACAAUCGUCGCAACUAGCAAAACUAAAUCCUCGAAUCGCACUAUUUCGUGCUCAAAGCCUCAAGGCGAGUCAAGUCAGCUCGCAAGACCAAGGGUACUAGGUACCCACAAUAACUCCACACCAAAUAAGGCCAAUCUAAUCGUUGGCGUACAAAACCCUCUCACAGGGUAGGGUGUUCCAAACGACACACCCGAUCAUCCGAUCAUCCUACAUGCAUCGAAAAUGAUCAACGCUAAUAAUCCUCGGGUUGGGUCACUACACACUCGGUGUAUCCUCGAUCUGACGAUCCAACACGUGGCAUUCCACGCUCCAAGGUCAAAGCUCGGACUACCGUCCUGACCAAACUCUGCCCUACCCGUAGGUACCGGCCGCUAUCACACACAGCUGACAGCGCAUGCCCGAAGGGCCCAGGCUCCACAGUCCACAAACGGUCCAGGCACCGUCGUCCCCAAGCACCAUCCGGCAAGCAGCCGAUCAAGGGAUGCAAACAAUGCAAUCAUCGUGAGAUCUACAAGCAUAGCAAGACAGGCUACCCGCAACCCGCAAAACAACCGCCUAGCUUGAGAGGAGCCACUCAACAUCGCAAACAGCGAACUAACGGAAUGCCAUGCAAUCCGGCAUAUAGCCGAACAAAGUAUGGAUGCAAUGCACUGAAAUCAACCAAUGUACAACUCGAAUGCCACAAAACAAACUGAUACCUGUAGCCACAAACUCGGCCGCUACCGCCUCCGCCGUCUGGGCCGCAUACAUGAGCCCACUCGGGGCCUGUCGAGAUCCCUCUCUCUGACGCUGAACGGAUAACGACCCAGGCUGGUACUAUGCCGAUGAAGUCCCAUGGCUAGCGGCUGGUAGAGCCGGUGCCGAUGCAGUCGACAGUGCCGGUGAUGAGCCUCUCGGGCACUCAGUCCGGAUGUGGCCCUCCUGGCCACACUGGUAGCACUGCCCGCCCGCUGUGGACACUGCGAUGGGUAGUGAGGACCACCGCAGAUCACACACUGGGAAGGCCGGCGACAAUCAAAACCUCCACGGUGUGUCGCUGAGCCACGCCCACACUUCUGGCUCCUAGGGUGCUUCAGCGGCCUCCUAGAGUGCGUCUGGCUCGCACCCUCAGCCGUGGGCCUCUUGGCCUUACCCUUGUCCAAGGCCUCUCGCCGCUCCUGUAGAUCCACUGCGCCGCUCUCCACAAUGAGCGCGCGGUUCACCACCUCCCGGUAGGUUUGGAGGUUAGAGGAUUGCACGAACCGGAAGAUCGACAGUCGCAAUCCACGCUCAAAGAUACGGGCCUUGUCCUCAUCGUCCCGCACGACGAAAGGCACCCAGUGAAGAAGUCGAGAAAACUCCUUCUCAUACUCGGCCACUGUCCGGUCUCCUUGGCGCAAGUUGCGCAAGUCCUGCUCCAUCUUCCUCUUGACGCUGUCAGGAAAGUAGUGCGCCAACAGAAGCUCCUUGAACUUCUUCCAUGAGAUAGCCGCUAAUUCUGUGCUAGGGUUCUCCUGAAGAUCCAACCACCAGCGGUAGGCCUCGCCGUCCAAGUGGUGUGUGGCAAGCAAAACUCGAUCUCUCUCUUCAACGAAGGUGUCGCGGAAGAGCUUCUCCAUGUGCAUUAACCACUUUUCCAUGAUCCAGUGGUCAACCUUCUCGCCAUUGAAAAUUCGGGGACCGCACUUUCUGAACUCGUUAAGGCACUCCAUGAGUCGGUCCCGCCCUGCCCCCUCGACCAUAGUAGGGAAAGCUGCUCCAAUCGGGGGCCUCUGCAUAGGUGGUGCCGCGAUAGUCUCCUCCUGAGGCGCAGCCGCGGGCGCUACUCGCGAAAAACUGGGCGCGGGGGACGGCGCUCUCGGCGCGACGUCCACAAAUGGUGCUGGCGGUGUAGGGGCCUGAGUCUCCCUGGAAGCUACCGCCUGCUGUAGAAGAAGAUCCUCCAGGCACUUCAUCCGCGCCUCCUGUCGACGCGCCGCCUUUGUCUGCUGUCAGGCCAUCUCCGCUUGCUGUGUCACCAAGUCGGUGAGAGCCGCAAGCUGGCUCCUCAACACACGGACCUCACUGGAUCCGAAGGUAGCGGAGGUCUCGACCUCCUCCAGGUUAGCCGCAUUAUCCGCCCCGGCAGAUUGGGAGCAUGUAAUCGACAUUGCGACUACAUAAUCAUAGAAGCGUAAGUUAGUAAACCCACGCUAUCGAAUCCCCACUCAAGAAGGUAAUACCCCAAAUCAUGCGAGAGUAAUGAAGUGUGCUUCACCACUAACUCCCGAUGUUACGUUGUCGACCGCCAAAGUAACCCUCCGCGAAGUUAGAAGUCAUACACUUCGAUUCAACUCUAACUUUUUAGUGAUAUCAAGGUACCCAAUCAUGAUACUUUCGCUCACAAGUCGAAUAGACCUCAUCUCUCAUGAGCCUAUUUCCUAUAGUCCAACUGGCCUAAGGUUUACUAGGUCCACUAAGACUCAACCCUAGGCUCUGAUACCAAACUAAUCUGUCACGCCCCGGGACCCGGCAUAGGCCCGCCCGGUGCGUGCCCAGACCCGCCAUAUGCCUGCACAUAUAAGGUGUCUAAAAUAAAAGAGAUAUGGAAGCGAGAAGAAAUAAAGUCACUAGAGAUAUCAGAGCUACUAACAGCAAGUAGAGAAAGAAGAAAAUAAACUACUAGAAAUAAAGAUAAAGUAGGUACAAAAGUUAUCACAAAAGUACUACAAAAAUAGGUGGUCUCUAUACAAAGUACAACUCUCAUCCUCUCUCAAAAAGAAAACAAAGAAGAGGUAGACCACCUAUCGAACGUCCCUCGCUCACAAGCUAGCUCGUGGCGAUUCCCUUUCCGCGGUCCCUAACCUCGCCCGAAGUGGAAGGCUCUGAAAUAAGAACAUGAAACAGAGGGCGUGAGAACUAUAAUUUAUAGUUCUCAGUGGGCAAUUACUGACCUCAGCACAAUGCACCACUAGGCCCAACGAAAAGGGGUAAGUAACGAUAAAAUUAAAUAAUAAUAAGCUGCUGAAUUGAAAGCAUGUAUGAAAUGCGAUACUACUAUGCCACAAGAUAUAUGAUAUGUAACCAUUCUAUCAAGAUGAAAUAAGCCCAAUGCAUAGUUCGAAUGUUCUAUGAUGGCAACAAGCAUACUAAGAUGUAAUGAGUAAUACUAUCAAGUAUACUAUGAGUCUAUCUCAAUAUCCUCCACUAUGCGGUGAGCAUGUCCAAGUAUCCAACUACUAUACCCUAUCUAGUAGUGAUUAACCUUUGUAAGUUGAUGUCACGGUUCAAUCUCAUUUGGGACCUACACAAGUGUAGUCCAGCUUGUGCCGCCUAAGUGUCGGUGGUAGCUCCAACAUUCCCACUCUGGAAAUGAGUCUAUCCCUCCCGACCCCAUAGGUUUCUCG